rnacentral:snoRNA from 1 species
UUUCAUGAUGAACACCCAUUCAAAGCAUAGUUCACCUGAAGGGCUUCGGCCUGCUGAACGACAAACCUUACCAUCUUUCAACUUAUCUGAUA